GGUCCAGUGGAACAACGGCAGUUCGUCACUUUCCGGUUAGUGGUUCAUCCUCAAACCAAAUUGUUCAUAGGUGUAGGUUGCAGGUUCGAGUCCUGCCUGGAUCG